AAACGUUCACAUUAGAGAGAGAAGCUCUUUCUUCUCUCUAACUUUUACUGCUUCAUCUUCUUCUCUGCUUCCUCUACAUAUGUAGGUUAACCUGCGCUGAGGGUGCCAUGGCGAGAGGGAGAGGCCGACCUAAGAAAGUACUGGUGCCAAUCUAUGCAAACAACACUGUUUUCCCAAAAUCUGUUAACACUGUGCCACAGUCGGUUAACACUGUUCCAUU
rnacentral:lncRNA from 1 species